rnacentral:rRNA from 1 species
AUGGUUGGUAUUAAGGGUAAAUGGUGGAUGCCUAGACAUUAAAGGGCUAAGAAGGACGCAGCGUAACGGCGAUACGCCUCGGGUAGGUGUGUAGCAACCUAUGAUCCGGGGAUUUCCGAAUGGGGAAACCCAGUUGAGUAAACCUCAACUAUCCGCGACUCAUAAGAAGUCCGGAAGCGAACCCACUGAAGUGAAACAUCUCAGUAAGUGGAGGAAAAAAGAACAACAGUGUAUUCCCUAAGUAGCGGCGAGCGAAACGGGAAGAGCCUAAACCUAGUGCAUCGCACUAAGGUGCGAUGCAGAAAAUAGAAUCUAGAAUCUAGAAAGUAGAAGUGAUACAAAAUCCAUUUUCAUUUCUUCUAUUUUCUACUUACUAUUUUCUUGUUUCUGUGCGACGCGCUUUAGCGCGGUGCGCUGGGGGUCAUAAGAUGAAAACAUCUUAGAUAUAAAGUUGAGCGUCUGUAGUGGCGAACAACUUUAUAUCUAUAAAAGAAGUCACAAAUUGAUUAGCUAGUCGAAGUUUCUGGAAAGUUACACCAAAGAAGGUGAAAGUCCUGUAGGCGAAAGCCAAUCAACUUCUAGUUUUUUUUCUUGAGUACUUCGAGGCAAAUAAACUUCGAAGGAAGUAGCGAGUACUAUCUCGUAAGGCUAAAUACCUUUAAUGAUCGAUAGUGAACAAGUACCGUGAGGGAAAGGUGAAAAGCAGGCCGGCAAGGCCGUUGAAAUAGAACCUGAAACCAUUUACUUACAAGGAGUCGAAGCACUAAGUUGCAUCUCACUGUCGUGAGGAUGCUUCAUAUAUCAUGUAUCACGCAGCAUGUAACAGAAAUAACUUGUGUUACAUGUUACAUGGUUCGUGUUUUGUGAAGCACGUCGCGAGAGUGAGAUGCGGCAGUGUAACGGCGUGCCUAUUGAAGAAUGAGCCAACGACUUAUUUUACAUUGCUUGUCUAAACCCGAUAAGGGUGGAGGCAUAGGGAAACCGAGUCUUAAUAGGGCGAAUAUGGCAGUGCAAGAUAGACCCGAAGCCAGAUGAGCUUGCCUUGGCCAGGAUGAAGUCUCGCGAAAGCGAGGCGGAGGUCCGCACCAGUGAGCCGUUCAAAACUCUUGGAUGAGCUGAGGUAAGGAGUGAAAAGCUAAUCGAAUCUGGUAAUAGCUGGUUCUCUCCGAAAUAGUUUUAGGACUAGCGCCUAGUAUAGCAAUUGGGGGUAGAGCACUGGAUGAUUGGUAAAGGGCGAAAGCUCAGCUAAUUAACCAAACUCCGAAUACCAGUUGUGUUAGCUAGGUAGUUAGAAUGUGGGGGCUAAGCUCCAUGUUCAAAAGGGAAACAGCCCAGACCAUCAUCUAAGGUCCCUAAAUUCAUGCUAAGUGUAAAAGGUAGUCAUCUACCAGUGACAGAUAGGAGGUUGGCUUAGAGGUAGCCAUCCU